UGGACCCGGCGCCUUGCCCCCAGAUCUGCAUCGGAAUGCAGAAAAGAUCUUUAAAAAAAAAAAAAAAAAAAGUUUUGAAUUCCUCAAUGAUUUUUCUUCUGGAAAGGCAGCUUAGGAUAAUUAUUUCAGCUUUAUUGAGGGCAGAUUAGUUGAAGUCUGGGCGCUGCGUUUCAAUACGCGUUGUACACGGGCCGACAAUGUGG
rnacentral:lncRNA from 1 species